GUGAGUAUAGUAUAAUAUUAUAUUACGUUUAAUUUCCAAUUAAAAGACUUAGGGAACCUAAUGCUCAUA
rnacentral:tRNA from 1 species